rnacentral:misc_RNA from 1 species
CAUGGCUGAGACCCUGAA